rnacentral:ncRNA from 1 species
CUUGUCGCGGGAGGCGCCCACGCGCGGUCCCACCCCGGUCGUCACGGACCGCGCCGAUCCAGCGGCGAGACCGGCCCGCGCUCCA